rnacentral:piRNA from 1 species
UCCUGGCUCGAAUCACUGGAAUCAUCUGAGC